GGAGAGGAACGGACUGGCUGGGACCUGGCAUGGGUCCAGUCCUGCCACCACUUUGCUCCUGGACAGGGUCAUCUGUGCCUCUUUUCAUCCGGGCAAAUAAGAUUCGACGAUGCAGGAAUCUCUGGGACUUUGCUCCUAGGACUGCCCGGGAAUCUUGACCCAUCGCUAAGUAAGAUGGUGUUUAUAAACACAGGGGAACCUCUCAAAGGAACAAAAAGCAUUUAUUCACUCAACCUGGGACUUCAACUUUAUGGAAGAAGUAAGAGAAGAAGAGGAAG